GCUUAAAGGGGCCGUAGCUUGAUAAUAGGGUCCCUUGAGAAAUCCGCCGGCUUAACUGGCGGGCGUUCAGGGGAAACUUGUUUUCUAGGGACCGGGAGAGGUGAGGGGUACUGCCGGGGUAGGAGUGAAAUCCUGUAAUCCCGGUGGGACCACCUAUGGCGAAGGCAUCUCACCAGAACGGGUCCGACAGUGAGGGACGAAAGCUGGGGGAGCAAACCGGAUUAGAUACCCGGGUAGUCCCAGCUGUAAACUAUGUGCGUUAGGUGUGUCAGUGACCACGUGUCACUGAGGUGCCGAAGGGAAACCGUGAAACGCACCGCCUGGGGAGUACGGUCGCAAGGCUGAAACUUAAAGGAAUUGGCGGGGGAGCACCACAACGGGUGGAGCCUGCGGUUUAAUCGGACUCAACGCCGGGAAUCUCACCGGAUAAGACAGCUGAAUGAUAGUCGGGAUGAAGACUCUACUUGACUAGCUGAGAGGAGGUGCAUGGCCGUCGUCAGUUCGUACUGUGAAGCAUCCUGUUUAGUCAGGCAACGAGCGAGACCCACGCGAGCAGUUGCCAGCUUGACCUUCGGGUUGAUGGGGACACUGCUCGGACCGCCUCUGCUAAAGGGGAGGAAGGACUGGGCAACGGUAGAUCAGCAUGCCCCGAAUUAUCCGGGCUACACGCGGGCUACAAUGGACAGGACAAUGAGUUUCGACACCGAGAGGUGAGGAUAAUCUUCUAACCCUGUCCCAAGUUCGGAUUGCGGGUUGUAACUCACCCGCAUGAAGCUGGAAUCCGUAGUAAUCGCGUUUCAACAUACCGCGGUGAAUAUGUCCCUGCUCCUUGCACUCACCGCCCGUAA
rnacentral:rRNA from 1 species